rnacentral:rRNA from 1 species
GACGAACGCUGGCGGCGUGCUUAACACAUGCAAGUCGAACGAUGAAGCCUAGCUUGCUAGGUGGAUUAGUGGCGAACGGGUGAGUAAUACGUGAGUAACCUACCUUUAACUCUGGGAUAAGCCUGGGAAACUGGGUCUAAUACCGGAUACGACCAAUCUCCGCAUGGGGUGUUGGUGGAAAGCGUUAUGUAGUGGUUAUAGAUGGGCUCACGGCCUAUCAGCUUGUUGGUGAGGUAACGGCUCACCAAGGCGACGACGGGUAGCCGGCCUGAGAGGGUGACCGGCCACACUGGGACUGAGACACGGCCCAGACUCCUACGGGAGGCAGCAGUGGGGAAUAUUGCACAAUGGGCGCAAGCCUGAUGCAGCGACGCCGCGUGAGGGAUGACGGCCUUCGGGUUGUAAACCUCUGUUAGCAGGGAAGAAGAGAGAUUGACGGUACCUGCAGAGAAAGCGCCGGCUAACUACGUGCCAGCAGCCGCGGUAAUACGUAGGGCGCGAGCGUUGUCCGGAAUUAUUGGGCGUAAAGAGCUUGUAGGCGGUUUGUCGCGUCUGCUGUGAAGGCCGGGGCUUAACUCCGUGUAUUGCAGUGGGUACGGGCAGACUAGAGUGCAGUAGGGGAGACUGGAAUUCCUGGUGUAGCGGUGGAAUGCGCAGAUAUCAGGAGGAACACCGAUGGCGAAGGCAGGUCUCUGGGCUGUAACUGACGCUGAGAAGCGAAAGCAUGGGGAGCGAACAGGAUUAGAUACCCUGGUAGUCCAUGCCGUAAACGUUGGGCACUAGGUGUGGGGGACAUUCCACGUUUUCCGCGCCGUAGCUAACGCAUUAAGUGCCCCGCCUGGGGAGUACGGCCGCAAGGCUAAAACUCAAAGAAAUUGACGGGGGCCCGCACAAGCGGCGGAGCAUGCGGAUUAAUUCGAUGCAACGCGAAGAACCUUACCAAGGCUUGACAUAUACUGGACCGCAUCAGAGAUGGUGUUUCCCUUCGGGGCUGGUAUACAGGUGGUGCAUGGUUGUCGUCAGCUCGUGUCGUGAGAUGUUGGGUUAAGUCCCGCAACGAGCGCAACCCUCGUUCUAUGUUGCCAGCACGUUAUGGUGGGGACUCAUAGGAGACUGCCGGGGUCAACUCGGAGGAAGGUGGGGAUGACGUCAAAUCAUCAUGCCCCUUAUGUCUUGGGCUUCACGCAUGCUACAAUGGCCGGUACAGAGGGUUGCGAUACUGUGAGGUGGAGCUAAUCCCUAAAAGCCGGUCUCAGUUCGGAUUGGGGUCUGCAACUCGACCCCAUGAAGUCGGAGUCGCUAGUAAUCGCAGAUCAGCAACGCUGCGGUGAAUACGUUCCCGGGCCU